rnacentral:antisense_RNA from 1 species
AGCUGAACUUUGUUCAGCAGCAAUUCCUUUCGGCACUACUUCUUCUGCUGUGGUUGGUUGAGAAGUAG